GGGCCAUUAGCUCAGCUGGUAGAGCAGCUGACUCUUAAUCAGCGGGUCGGAGGUUCGAAUCCUCCAUGGCUCACCA
rnacentral:tRNA from 1 species